rnacentral:rRNA from 1 species
AGCCAGACUCCUACGGGAGGCAGCAGUGAGGAAUAUUGGUCAAUGGGCUUACGCCUGAACCAGCCAAGUCGCGUGAGGGAAGACUGCCCUAUGGGUUGUAAACCUCUUUUGUCAGGGAGCAACGCCGGCUAUGUGUAGCCGGACUGAGAGUACCUGAAGAAAAAGCAUCGGCUAACUCCGUGCCAGCAGCCGCGGUAAUACGGAGGAUGCGAGCGUUAUCCGGAUUUAUUGGGUUUAAAGGGUGCGUAGGCGGAUUGCAAAGGAAGCGGAAAAAUCGGGGGGCCCAACCUCGCUCCGCCGUUGAAACUGGCGUUCUUGAGUGGGCGAGAAGUAUGCGGAAUGCGUGGUGUAGCGGUGAAAUGCAUAGAUAUCACGCAGAACUCCGAUUGCGAAGGCAGCAUACCGGCGCCCUACUGACGCUGAGGCACGAAAGUGCGGGGAUCGAACAGGAUUAGAUACCCCGGUA